GACGAACGCUGGCGGCGUGCUUAACACAUGCAAGUCGAACGGAAAGGCCCUGCUUUUGUGGGGUGCUCGAGUGGCGAACGGGUGAGUAACACGUGAGUAACCUGCCCUUGACUUUGGGAUAACUUCAGGAAACUGGGGCUAAUACCGGAUAUGAGCUCCUGCUGCAUGGGGGGGGUUGGAAAGUUUCGGCGGUUGGGGCUGGACUCGCGGCUUAUCAGCUUGUUGGUGGGGUAGUGGCUUUCCAAGGCUUUGACGGGUAGCCGGCCUGAGAGGGUGACCGGCCACAUUGGGCCUGAGAUACGGACCAGACUGCUACGGGACGCAGCAGUGGGGAAUAUUGCACAAUGGGCGGAAGCCUGAUGCAGAAACGCCGCGUGCGGGAUGACGGCCUUCGGGUUGUAAACAGCUUUCGCCUGUGACGAAGAGUGAGUGACGGUAAUGGGUAAAGAAGCACCGGCUAACUACGUG
rnacentral:rRNA from 1 species